rnacentral:rRNA from 1 species
CUACCAUGCAAGUCGAACGGUAGCACAGUAGAGCUUGCUCUCGGGUGACGAGUGCCCCUUAANGGGUGAGUAAUGUCUGGGAAACUGCCUGAUGGAGGGGGAUAACUACUGGAAACGGUAGCUAAUACCGCAUAACGUCGCAAGACCAAAGAGGGGGACCUUCGGGCCUCUUGCCAUCAGAUGUGCCCAGAUGGGAUUAGCUAGUAGGUGGGGUAACGGCUCACCUAGGCGACGAUCCCUAGCUGGUCUGAGAGGAUGACCAGCCACACUGGAACUGAGACACGGUCCAGACUCCUACGGGAGGCAGCAGUGGGGAAUAUUGCACAAUGGGCGCAAGCCUGAUGCAGCCAUGCCGCGUGUAUGAAGAAGGCCUUCGGGUUGUAAAGUACUUUCAGCGGGGAGGAAGGCGAUAAGGUUAAUAACCUUGUCGAUUGACGUUACCCGCAGAAGAAGCACCGGCUAACUCCGUGCCAGCAGCCGCGGUAAUACGGAGGGUGCAAGCGUUAAUCGGAAUUACUGGGCGUAAAGCGCACGCAGGCGGUCUGUCAAGUCGGAUGUGAAAUCCCCGGGCUCAACCUGGGAACUGCAUUCGAAACUGGCAGGCUGGAGUCUUGUAGAGGGGGGUAGAAUUCCAGGUGUA